UACGGAGGGUGCGAGCGUUGUCCGGAAUCACUGGGCGUAAAGGGCGCGUAGGCGGCGCGGGCAGUCAACGGUGAAAGCUUGGGGCUCGACCCCGAGUCGGCCGUCGAUACUCCCGUGCUUGAGCACUGUAGAGGCAGGUGGAAUUCCGGGUGUAGCGGUGGAAUGCGUAGAGAUCCGGAAGAACACCGGUGGCGAAGGCGGCCUGCUGGGCAGUAGCUGACGCUGAUGCGCGAAAGCCAGGGGAGCGAACGGG
rnacentral:rRNA from 1 species